rnacentral:rRNA from 1 species
GUGAGGAAUUUUGCGCAAUGGGGGCAACCCUGACGCAGCGACGCCGCGUGGAGGACGAAGUCUUUCGGGAUGUAAACUCCUGUCAGUGGGGACGAUAAUGACGGUACCCACAGAGGAAGCACCGGCUAACUCCGUGCCAGCAGCCGCGGUAAGACGGAGGGUGCAAGCGUCGUUCGGAAUUACUGGGCGUAAAGCGUAUGUAGGCGGCAAGUUAAGUUCAAUGUUAAAGCCCACGGCUCAACCGAGGAGAUGCAUUGAAUACUGGCUAGCUAGAGGGUGUUAGAGGAAGACGGAAUUCCCAGUGUAGCGGUGAAAUGCGUAGAUAUUGGGAGGAACAUCGGUAGCGAAAGCGGUCUUCUGGGACAUACCUGACGCUGAGGUACGAAAGCGUGGGGAGCAAACGGGAUUAGAAACCCGGGUAGUCC